UGAGGUGUUAUGGCCCAUCCGCACCCGCGCCCUGGGUUCCCUUUCACGCUCCUGCGACGGCAUGGGCAGGCCUCAGAGCCUCACCCCUGUGCCCCUGGGCUGGCCCAGGGUACCCCCGGCACCCCCGUGGGCGGCCGUGGCUCGCCGCCGCCUGGCCCCGCAGGUCAGCACUGGGGAGGGUGGUGAGGCCUGUAAUUGCACCAGCGUCUUCCACUGUGCCUAAAGAAGAUCCCAGCUGAGUUCCCAGGUGUUGUUGCACUGAGGAAGUGCAUGAAAUUGGUGGCAGCGCUGCCCUGAAAGCUGGGAAAAUACAAGGCCCCAGUGGAAGGAAUUACCUUUUUACAUCAGUUUCCAUUUUCUUCAGCCUUGCAAAGAAUGUCUGUCAUUGCUCAGGAAAUUGGUGGGGAACAACAUAUCUUCACAAAAGGGGCUCCAGAAAUGGCAGCCAUGUUAUGUAGAGCAGAAACAGUCCCAUUGAACUCUGAAAGCAAGCUUCUGCUCUACACAGCACAGGGUCAUUGGACUGGCAUGUAAAUCUCUACAGGCAGGGAAGCAGUCUUCUGACCUAACAAGGAAGGAGGUAGAAUCUGAUCUGACAUUCCUGGAUCUGCUGAUAAUGGAGAAUUGAUUGAAGAGAGAGACAAGGCUUGUCCUGGAAGAGCUCAGUGCUGUCCGCAUCAGGAGUGUUAUGGUCACAGGUAACAACAUUCAGACAGCUCUAACAGUUGCCAAAAAAUGCUGGGAUAAUCUCUCCAAUGAACAGAGUGAUUCUUGAUGUGGAAGAACACAAAAUAUCUGGAUCUUUUUCAGCAUCUGUAACCUGGAAACUACUAGAAGAAAACAAAACUGAAGAUUACGGAAGCCUGGAUGAUGACAGUCAGACUAAAUGAAGAAUCAGGCUGGCAUUGGCCUCAGGCCAGAAUCAUUUUGCCAUGAGUGGAAAAUCUUACCUAAUUGUAGCACAGCGUUUCCAGCACUUACUUCCAAAGCUCCUGCUGAAUGGAACAGUUUUUGCUAGAAAGUGCCCUAGUCAGAAAUCCAGCCUUGUAGAAGAGUUUCAAAAGCUGGAGUAAGUAUGUAAUAAGCACUAAAGGUUAGGAAGUAUUCAAUGAGUAAGUGGGGUAAGUGAAAAUUCUUUACAAUGUUUUUAUUUAAAAAAGGAAAAAUGAAUGCAGUGCUAGUAGAAUAUACCAAAAUGAGCUCAUGCUGGAGAUGUGAGCGCUCUUACUUAUUCACAGAGCAUCUGUACUGGCACUAGUACUGAUCCAGGCCUGAUCCCACACUGUGGUCCUUUCAUGCAAGAGCCAUCCUUGGCAGAGAUUGUUGCAGUUCAUGGUCUCAAGGACUGAUUAAUUUCCUUUGCAAAAACCACCAGAGUUCACUGGGGUUUCUGUCAACAUCUCAGUGUCUGAGGGUGGAGAAGACUAGGGUGAGGAGGAGUUUCCACGGGGAACAGCUGUAGCCCUACAACGUUUUUGUAAAUGCCCCUUUUAGAAGUGCAAAAAGGUUUUUAUUCCAAAAGGAAUAGUCUGUAUUCAGGAGGAACUCAUAACUCCCUUGUGGGCAGGUUCAGUUCAUUCCGUGACUUCACACAUGCUUGUGGCAGUGAGAGCAAUGCCACCUAGGCAGUGAAGCAUUCACUUGCCCUAGCACAAAGUCCCAAGGAUUCUCCUGGGGAAAGCAUCAGAGAACUUCGACUGUCUACAUUAGGCAUGACUGCAAAUAAGUGCAGACAAAAGAGGCAGAAGCAAACCUGUCUUCUGCAGUUGGUAGUGGAUGGCUUUGGGGUCUGUGGAAAAUGGACUUUCCCAGCCCCAUUCUUCUGGACCCAAUGCCUCAACCACAUGCCACUGGAGGAACCUUACAGGUGAAGCCCACCCAGGGAGUGAAGAGGGACUGCUGUGCACAGAAUAUAUCCUGUAAUAAAGAAAGAGUCAUUUCUUGGCUGACAUGUCAGUUGCUGUGUCUUCCUGGUUUGUGAGUGCUGAAGCAGAUUAUGCCUUUCAGGCUUUGAAAGUGGCACAUGCAGGGAUAUCACUGUCAGACCAGGAGGCGUCUGUGGCUUCACCUGUCACAUCCUGAACCCUUAGCAUGUGUGCCAGAGCUAAUCAGGUAAGCAUGGAUUUUUGUUUCCUAUUUCAUAAAGGAGACAGUUCCUACUCCUCUCAAAUAUCAGUGUUGGGUGUUUCCACCAAGUCAGAAAGUACAUAUCUAGAGAAAAAUAAAUGUCUUUGACCUCGAAAUUGCCAUUUGCCUAGUUGCUGUCUGAAAUUCCUUUAAUUCCCUCAAAAAUGUAGGAGGAGGGCAUCUACAGCUGAGCUUUAUGUCAUUAGUAGUAUUUCAAAUGCAAAAGAAAUAGCAAAAUAAACAAUGCUCCAUAAAACUGAAUCAAAUGUCCACAAAUCAACCUGUAUACUACUGUUAGGCCCUGUCUCUUAUACCCUAUGAAAGCAAAACGUUAGCAUCUGUUAUGCCAGGGUAGUGAUUUUGCUUACUGCAGUAGAUGAAUAACCAGGGAGAGUGAGUUACCCUCAUUGGAUACUGUAUGUUCACUGCAGGAGGAGAGGACUUGUUAGUUUGAACUCACUGAGCAGCUGCUUGGCUUUGUAUAUGUUUCUCUUCAUAUGGAGUUAUUACUUGCACUAUUACUGUCAGCAGGAAACCUUGCUGGCGUAAAUUGUAGUCUUUGGAACAUAGAUGACUGGAAUUGAGCCCUUUUGCUUGCAACAAGAUUUCUACAAGUGAAAGUUUUACUUUUAUUCAGGCCAAAUUUUAUUUAUUUCACCUCCCAGCAAAAUACUGACAGACACUUCUCUACUUGUGACACAUGCCUUGUUUUUCAACAACGUUUUGAGAGGACUUGCAACAGGAGCAGACUCAUCACCUAAUUGCUGCCCUUUAUUCAUGUCUUCACACUGGGAAGGCCGUGCUGCCCUGGUCACUUCCUUCUGCAUGUUCAAGUACAUGGCACUGUACAGCACCAUUCAGUACCUUGGUGUUCUCCUAUUGUACUGAGUAUGUCUUGGGAACAUGUUGGCUAGAACUGUUCUGGAGAAACAUGGCAUAAAAGCCACAAUAAAGCUAGGGUAUGGAGCUUUACCUUUAUCUGAGUUGAAAACUUCUGUGGUGUGAUUAUAUGGUCCUCCUGGAUCCCUCAGCUGAAAACUGGAAAGAUAUUCUGCCCAUUGACUUCAGCCAGUAGGCUUAAAAUCCAAGCUGGGCAAAAAGAAGCCUGAGACACUGAACAGUAUUUUAAAUGAGGGCAUAUGUCCGUGAAAUGGGAGAAUCUGGCAUAAGCAAAUGCUGUUGCAAUUUACUCAGCAUUUAAAGCAUUAAUUAACUUGACAAUAAGCAAAAUCCCCUGGAGUGCCUUAAACCCUUUUUGCAUGGCUUCUUCCCAGAGAGGAGGGCUUUGCGUUAAGAAGUCACCCAGCACUGAGAAAGCACAUCUCUUCAAAUAGCUUUCUUUUUUAUUGCAUUGAGUGAACUGGAAGCAUUGUUAGUCCGAACAAUGUACAAAGUAAGUGUAUUCACUGCAGGCCCAGUGAUGACGAAUCUGUUGGAAAAGUGGUGGAUUGUGUGGUCCCCUUAUCUGCUGAGUAGCAUUUCAGAACAAACAGCAGAGCAUUAGUUCCAUGAAAAUAAUAUGGGUUUCUGGAGACAAUAUAAAGAAGCACACAGCAAAUGUCUGAUUUGUGAUUUUUUUUUUGUGUGUGUGUUCCUCUUUUCAGCAACUAAACUCCUUCAACAAUUACCAAUUUUUGUUCCAAGAUCUGGCUACUACCACUGUAACUGGUGUGACAAGUAAGCCCCUUAGUCAUCCUAUAUAUUAAUGAGGGAAUGAUAUAAAAUAUUUUUUGCCUCCUUGAAUAUGCAUAAUUCUGUGUACAGAAAGGAAGAAAAGAGAGACUACAUAGAGUACAGGAUGUUUAGAUUAUUAGAGGAGGUGAGGUUUUUUGAAAAAAACUCUGGAAUAAGAUCAGUAAUUCUUAGUGAUGCAUUUGCUGAGCAUGUAGGUUGUUGAUAAUUGGGACAUUAUGUCUACAAGGAGUAAAAACAGACCUAAUGCAGUGGAAAGUCUAUUCAGGCUUUUUCCUGUUGACUUAGGAAGGCAGAUAAAGAAGAUACCUAAGGAUCCAUGCCCAAAUGAAAAAGUACAGGGAUUGACUGUUUGGGGUCCAACUCACAUUUGAAGGUGUGUAGGUAGGAGGCACAAGAGGAAAGAGAAUUUAAAGUGGAAAGAAAUGACAGAUGUCAGAUCCUACAGAGCAGGAAGUUGUAAGCCAAGAAUAAGAGAGGAAACCGGUGCUGGAAGGGAAGAAGAGAGACAGGGUUGUCGAGAUAGAGUAAAUGUAGGGAGAGGUUUAGAAGCAGGAAUGGCAAGGACAGGGGCAUGAAAAGCAUAUAGCAAAACCACAUAGCUGUCUUCCAUCCCUGCUGGAACACAAACAUCUGGGAAAUGCCUUGAUUAAAUUAAGCACAAAAGGGUCAGCCACAUACCAGGUGCCAAAAGCUACCCUGCAGUAAGUAGCCCACUUGGAACACUGAAUUGAGGUUUUCUGUGCAGCUCUUUUACUCAAAGUUCAGACAACUUUGUUAAACCUAAGAAUGGAGGAAAACCUCGUGUCAGCUAAUGCAGUCCUCUACCAGCUCAAAUAACUGGUCACUAGGUACUUAGUCCAGGAGGAUGCACAGAACAUGGGCAACAGAAAAUCCUAAGCCACAGUUGACAAGUGACAGAAAGACAACAGGAGAGCUUGUGCAUAUCCUCAUAUCCUAGGGUCUGACAGUAAACAAAUAAAGAUCCAACAUUUUAUUUUCCUAACAUGCCUCAUGAUAAUAAGAUGCCAUUAAUUAGUCUCUUCUGUGACCAGUAAGAUUUUGUAAGAACAACUCUGUUCUUGAUAUAGUAUUUAUAUGUAUUAUAAAGAACAUUAUAAACUGUAAAAGUGCUGGCCACUGAUAACAGUCAAUAAUACACAGCAGCACUGCUUGCAAUUUGUCACAGUAGUAAACAUGUCUGUGCAUGUUUCAGUGAGUUUCACAAGUGCCUAUCCAAAGCUUGUUCCCUAUAGGCCUCCUAGCCACCUCAUCUCACCCCUGUUGCUGCUCCUGUUGUACUUAACAUCCUCUUCAGCCUCCGCAUGCAGAUUUUUGGGUUUGCGGUGGUCCAGGAGCAGCCUUGGUAUUCCAAGACGGAUAUACAGGUAGGUCCCCUUCUUGGGGCUCUGGGUGACACAGUGCUGAUGUAGUGGGACAGGUUUGCAUGGUACUAUUGACUAGCUUAACUACAGGCCUGAUCAGCAGCUGCAGGCAGACCCUGUGCUUCCCACCAGGGUCAUUAACCAGUGUUGUCUGCAGGUCCCUAAGCUCUCUAGCAAGGCUGCUGUGCAGCACACUGCAUGUGGUGAGAAUGCUUCUGUUGAGCACAAAGAGGAGGAUUUGACAGCUCAGGAUAUCCAAGUAGGUUUGAGGUCGGGCUCUGCCAAGUUCAGCAAUCUCGACACAGUGGGUAUGAUUGAGAACAUUGCCAAUAACUUACAUCCUUGUGAUGUAGCAGUAGCCAAUCGUGGCUGUGAAAGAAGAUUCCUGACAGUGGUAGUGGAAGCUGGGGGAAAUAAGCACAACAGUGUUCAUUUGCUGACCAGUGUUGCACUCUUUUUCAGUGCCUCCCCAUCAGUGAAUAACCACAUGGAGGAUUCUUUGUCUGUUUCCAGUCUGGGGCUCCAUGGGAUGAGAGAUGGAGCCCAAGGGCAAACAGACAAUGGCUACAAGAGCUAUGAAAACAGCACAGUGUGGCUGCUAAGUACCAUCAACUGCCUUAUCGUAGUAUUAUUGUUUUCCAAGGGAAAGCCUUUCAGGCAACCCAUCUACACAAACUGUAAGUAUGGGGAAAGAGGGAGUGAUCUGUGACUAAGUCAACUCAGGAGGUCAAUUCAGUAGGGAAAAAUUAAAACUUGAUCAAUGUGAUGCCAUCCAAAAAAGCAGGAGCCCAUAGGAACAUUCUCCUAUGGGCAGAGGACAAUAGAUUCUCCACUACUUAAGACUUUUUAGAUCCUGAUUGAGAGCAAACUCUUGAUAUCACUGAAGUUGAAGGCAGAGUUCCUAAUCAUAUCAACAAGAGCAAGACUACAUCCUGGACAUUUUUCUGGAUGGCUGGAGACACUGAGCUCUGAGAUAGACUCAUUUGAAGGCUUUAAGGCUUCUCAGAUGUAAGAGGUCAGAUCAAAUGUUCAAAAUACUCAUCUGGCAUUUUAAAUGUGUGGCUACAAGGCUUGUCCCAGCCUUACAUAUAUCUACUUGAUUGAGUAAAGCUGGGGUUUUACUGUGUUCAGUUUUCUUUUGAUGAAAGUUCCUUCUUAUCUCAUGGAUUUUGUUAGGUUUUGACUGACACAGAAAAUUAUUACAAUCUUCUGUAGUAAAAGCAAAUGAGAUGAUUGCUCAUAAACCUGUGGUUUUAUUUGCUUGUUCUUGACCCUUCAGAUGUGUUCAUACUGGUGCUCAUAGGGCAGCUGGGCAUUUGCCUCCCCUUGGUGUUUGCUGAUAUUGAUGAUCUCUACUCUAAGAUGGAUGUGAGCAUUGUUCUAAGGUGGAUUUUCUUCCUGCUGCCAGUCCCAUUAUACAUGCACUGGGAUUGUUUCUAACAAAAGACACAGACUUUUUCAGGGAUACAUGGCACCUCUAAAAACAAAUCAAAUUUGAGGAGGGGUAUUUUAGAUUAUGAGAUUGAAGAUCCUUCUGGAGAUAUGGUAGCUCCAAACAAAGAUUUAUACAUUGUGACAUCUGGAUAGCUACACAUGUACAUUUGAUUGUUUCAGUGCAUUGUCCAUGCAACAGAAGAUGGCAUCACUAAGCUUACCGUGCUUGGCAAGUUUGUGGCUUGACAGUUGAGAAGCCAGGAGAAGAAAGGGGAUAGGCCCUGCAAGUUUAAAGUAAAGCACCAUACACUUGCAUUUCUCACAUUGUGCAUCUCUGCACACAGAUUCUCUUGCAAAGAAGAUCUGCCAGUUGGCACCCUCAGCAGCUCUUAGUUCUUAGUCCCAAAUAUUUUCAGGAUCUCUGUUUAAAUUUCAGACAGCUUGCAGUUUUCUAAAGCAGUAUUUGGGUUUAAAACAAUUGUAGAGAAAGACUAGUGGAGGGCCAUGACAAUAGAGGAUCUGUCUUGAUCCUUGAAAUAAAAUAUCAGUAAGGCUUGUCUUAUUUAGUCUGCCAGAAUGCAAGCUGGGAGUCACCUUGUGCAAAUCCACCCUAGGGGAAAUGCAAGGGACGGACAAGAUCUACAUCAGCUGUAGGACAGGAUUGUCAGCGGACCUGGCAAUUAGCAUGGUGAUGCUGGGAGAUGUUAACGUCCUCCAAUGUGACACUCUCACAGCCUUUCGGUAGAAGUCACAGGAACAAAACAACAAAAGAAAGCAACACACAGCUAUUUCUUUUUUUUCCCCCAGUACAUUUGUAACCGGAACAAUGAAUUGUGGUGGCUUUGAGUAACAGGUACUGAACAUGAUGCUGCUUCCAGUCCUGUAUGUUUGCCUGACAGUUAGAAAGUGGAUUUAAAAAUGGAAGUAAUUAAACAUGGAAAGAGAAACAUAGACAAGGAGAAUGGACCUGGAUUUUGAAUGCCAAGCUGCCUAGCUAAAGCUGCCUGACCGUGUAACUGUUUCCAGAGCAGUGGCCUAACAGGCAGACCCAGUUGAAGAAUCUGCCACGAGAUGGCACUUUAAAACAAGUCUUAGUCCUCCUGUGGACCAUAGUGACACCAGACAUUGUCAGCACUGCGGCUGCGAGGGGCUAAAAUGCCUUUGGGGAGAACUGCAAAACUCCCAGUCUGUCUGGAGGGAGUACACUGGACCUGCUGAGAAGAGAAAGGAGGGAGUGGCAAUAAGAAACUUUGCAAUAGCCUGGUCCUGGAGAAGAAGCUGCUGAUCCGAAUUUUGGAUCUGAGCUGCAUCUCCAGAAUAAGUUGAGCUACAGCCAGAACGCCAGUGCUGUCAGCUGUGGAAAGCUGGAGCUGCAUUUGGAGCUGAAAUACUCAGACUUCGAACUAUUUCCUAUAUUAGAAAGAAAGGAAGCAUUUAGAUUUCCUGUUGCAGUUCUGGAGUAUGGUUUUCUCUGGUGCAUCAGAAGCUUAAAAGCAUCUUUAUCAAUAAUUCCUCAAGACAAAUAGCAAUAUUGGCUCAUCAGCAAUGUACAUCCAGUGGGGGUUUACGGCUUUUGAGGACAUGAUGCUGGUGAAGGAUCUAGAGAACAAGUCCUACGAGAAGUGGCAGAGGGAACUGGGGCUGUUUAGUCUGGGGAAAAGGAGGCUCUCUACAACUAUCUGAAAGGAGAUUGUAGCAAGGUCGGUGUUGGUCUCUUUACUUGGGAAACAAGUGAUAAGAGGAAACAGCCUCAAGUUGCUCUUGGGGAGGUUUAGACUGGAUAUUAGGAAAAACUUAUUCACCGAAAGGGUUGUCAAGCAUUGGAACAGGCUGCCAAGGAAGUGGUUCAGUCACCAUGCCUGGAGGUUUUUAAAAGACAUGUAGAUGUGGCACUUAGGGACAUGAUUUAGUAGUGGACUUUGCAGUGUUAGGUUUAAAGUUGGACUGGAUGAUCUUAAGUGUCUUUUCCAACCUAAAUGAUUCUAUAAUUCUGUAACACAAGCUCUGACCAGUCCCUAGUGUGCACCAGCUUCUCCUGCCUUUUUCUCAGCUAGUUUGUACCCCUACCAUGUGGAAGAUCUCCAUGCUGAUAAUGUUUGCAGUCACAUUUGCUGUGUCCUUCCUUGUUGAGGUGAGCAUACUUCAUUGAAUGUACCUGUCAGCAUUAAUUGGAAGAUGAAAGGAUCAGGUCUUACUCUUUCUCCCUCCUCCUCAGCCCAGCUUGGGAAUAUCUAGUAAAACAGGAGCCAUUGCAGCUACCUUGCCCUUAGUCUCUUUCCUCAAAGCCCCACAUCUGAAUCCUCAGAUAUAAGGGAAUCAGGCCCUGCCCCAAGCUAGAGAAAUAUGGGUGGUCUUUGGUGUUUUCUACUCAGAUCCUGAAGAACGUCAGGAUGAGCUGGGCCCAGUUUUCUGGUAGAGAGCGCUGGUGGAGCUGGUAUGAGUAGUAGUCGGUAGAAGCCUAUUUAAGGGAUGUAGAUGAGCAGGUCCAGGUGAGAGAUCUGGGUCUCCACUACUUGCCCUGUGUGUGCCAUGUGAAUAAAGAGGGAAAACUGCUGUCCAGGUUCUCCAGAAUCUUCCUUUUGCUUGCUCUUGCUUUUACAGGAAGCUGUCAUUGGGAACAGACCGUUAGGGCUGCCUCUGGUACCUUCUGGUACCACUCAAAGAGCCAUUACAAGAGACUGCAAUGACUGUUAGAGCACGACUCAGCCUGGCCACCUCUGAACAAAACACUCAGAUUCUGUGGCAAUAUCAGUAGAGGGAAAUAUGGGAGGCCAUAGCAAUCCAACAUUUGACAGCAAUGAGGAUGCCCUCUGAAGAAAACUGCAGAGGGCACAUGUCCAGGACAGUUGCAGUUGGCUGUAGGACUAUCUCAGAGACAUAAGAAAAGAGAAGACUAACAAUAAGUCUAAGACUAACAAGCUCUGGUUUAUUUUUUUCUUAACUGGAAGCAGAAAAGCUGGCGCAGUAACAUAAAGUGUUUUUCCCACCCCCUUGCCAGUGUAUGAAUGGCUGCCAGCUGUAAAUGGAACAGCUUGCUGAAUACUGGCAUGAGUAUUCAUGGUUGAAGCAUCCCAUUCCAGCAUCCCUCUCUUGAACUGCAUCAUGCAUCCUACAGCUGAAAAGUAGCUAUUUGAGAUAUCAGCAUUCC